rnacentral:rRNA from 1 species
UACGUAGGGGGCUAGCGUUGUCCGGAAUCAUUGGGCGUAAAGCGCGCGUAGGCGGCCCGGUAAGUCCGCUGUGAAAGUCAAAGGCUCAACCUUUGAAUGUCAGCGGAUACUGCCGGGCUAGAGUCCGGAAGAGGCGAGUGGAACUCCUGGUGUAGCGGUGGAAUGCGCAGAUAUCAGGAGGAACACCGAUGGCGAAGGCAGAUCUCUGGGCCGUAACUGACGCUGAGGAGCGAAAGCGUGGGGAGCGAACAGG